rnacentral:lncRNA from 1 species
AUGCCGUCGCAUGCCUUCCCUUCGACGAGAAAUACCCUUCAUAACUCACUCACCUUGCUUCCCUGGCCUUCACGUCCUGGGAUCAACAUCACUUUCUCAGGAAACCUUUCCCGGGCACACCAGGUUGACAUGAGAAUCUCACUGCACAUCUUGAUCGAGACCAGGAGCGAGGAUACACAGCCAGUGCUUCACGAGUGGUGAGUAAACAAUACAUAUUGGCUGCUGCUAACGCUGUGGUUGCUGUCCUUGUUUAGCCGUUCAGGAAUUGCUUGACUUUUGACUAAUUUAUCUAAGACCUCUGUGGCUCAGUUUCGUGGUCUCAGAAGAAUGAGGCUGUGAGACCCUGUUACGCAACUAGCUGCAUUUCACUAGACACAAAUAAAGGUAAUGUCUACAAAGCCA